CUCAUCUCUCUCACAACUCACAUCUCAUCAGAUGUUUUCAUCAACCUUCUCUCUCUGGCGACUCAAGGACAUGCCAACGAUUAGGGUUUUGAUCUCAAAUUCAGAUUCACAAUCUCCAACAAAAAUCAAAUCCAACAGAAAUCGAUCUCAAAUUCAGAUUCCCGCUCAUCCGCCUACACCCUUUACUGGAGUGGCCUUACCUUUUCAUUUCAUUUGAAGAGAGAUACGAAAAAAGAGAGAGUUCAAGAGAAUUGAAGCGAGAGAGAGAGAGAGAGAGAUAGCACGUACCUGGUCGACCUAAUCUCUGAUCUCCUGUGCUGAUGCUAAAAUAACGUUUAGGGUUCUGCAGAUCUUGAAUGUACCAGCUGCCUUGAAGUUUGAAUUCGCUUUUCGGGGUAUUUCAGAUAUCUAAGAUGAAGCUGGGGCGAGCCAGGGAUGUUACGGGACCGAGGAAGAUGACAAAAAUUUGUAGAUCUGAGUAUUCUAGCAACAUUCAGGAGUUUUACAUUCAGAUAUGUGUUUGUUUCUUCUUCAUAUCUGAGUUUUACAUUCAGAUAUGUUAGGUUUGUUUACUUAUUAUGAUUUUUUGUUUUCAAUUUGGAUUCAUUUGUUGAAAUAAUGGUUUAAAUAAGAUAAAUUGAUGUUACAACAUUGAUUUUCUGAAAUUUCGCUCGAACAAGAAGUAAUUUAUUAACUGUCGACCUUAAUUUGUUGGAUAUGGAGUUGUUCUUUAGUGUUUUUUUUUCUUUUGGUUUGAUUUGGAGUAAACCCUAGCUGUUAAGUGUGUUUUGUAGCAACUUUUAACUAUAUAGAGUUAUGAAGUGGUUAAAGAUAUGGACCGGGUAUUUGUUUUAUUUUUAGAUAUUGUUGAACUAUGAAAUAGGCUGGGGUUGAAAGGUACAGAUGCUUGGUUACCACCGUGCUGGAAUCUACGGAAAUCGUAUAUUAGAGGACUUGGCAAAGGGUAUCAAUUUAGUUCAUAUCCCAAGGUAAUUUUUAGACGACUAGCAUUUUUUAUUUGAAGUAAAGUGUGUCGUCUACAACUAUUAUGAACAUGCUUUUAUAUGCUAUGUUAAUAGUCCUUUUAAAAAAAAUCAAUAGAGAGAAGAGAGGGUAAUCAAGCUUGCCAUCAAUGCAAAACUAGAUACAAACAAAUCAAAGGUAUCCAUGUUAUGAAUUUUAUAAGUGUCAUUUAGUGAAUAUCAAAGAAAUUAACUGGAAGUUUAAAUACCAGGGAGUCCAAGAAUGAUAUGGAAUCAUACUUGGUGUCAGUUCAGAGCAUGAUCCGCCAAGAGAUGAGUCGUGCAAGAAAAGGUAGGCGUGAACAACGUCGACGAGCUUGGUGGCCUCUGCUUUCACACCUCGAGGCAAUAACAAGGGUCGUAUUGGUCCCGGUCAAAGUCAAGGUCAGAUGAAGUUCACAAGAGUUUUCCAUUCAGUAAGCGAAUCUUUGAAAAGGUUCAUCGUGUUGUUCUGUAGAUGCAUGAAGAGAGUCAACUGCAUUUCAACAUCAUUAAAGUUGGUUAUGAUAACUUACUGUUAUAUUUUGCUAUAGGUUUAGGAUUUAGACUAGAGUGAAGAUUAGGAAGUGUCGGUGGUAACUUACUGUUACAUACUUAUUCAACCUGCAUCGUCAGUGGAUAUGGCUCCCAGUUGUUGUGAAUAUGCAUGCGGAAAGUUUCCAAACAAUUUAGAACUGGUGAUGGGUCUCUUCAGCUGUUAUGUUCGUGGAUAUUCUUUUGUGAAACAGCAACAGAUAGCCAUCAAAAUGUAUAAAGUUGCUGGUGAAGAGAAGUUUUUGCUCUGGGCAGUUUGUAGCAUUCAUUUUGAUUCGGUAUUCAAGAACAUAUUGAUCUGGGUAUCAAUAUCAUAUUGACUGGUGAUUAUGCAUCUACGGCUCCAUGAGUUGGCUUUGUCCAUUAGAGGGUGCGUCUUGCUAUGCCGAUCACUAUAGUUAUUUGUACUUCCAGCAUUGGUGAGUUCAAAAGGCGCCUUCAACAUGUUUAUGCCUUCCAUGGCCACAUCAGAAAAAAGAGGGCAAUCCAGCAACUUGUGUCGUUAUUCAACCAUGGUCUGGUGGAUGUCUAAAGAAGCUCCCAAAGUGGAAUUAUGAUCGGUCCAGCUCAUGGGAAGCCCAUCGGGAAGACAGUGAAGUUAUUUUAUAAAUGCUUUUAGUAUAAUAUUCAAAUUUUAUCUUAACAACAUAUACUUGCAGUAUAAUAUUCAAAUUUUCUUUUUAAUUUGUUUAGCUGUGGAAAAUUGGGUAUGAAUGAGAAUGAAAAGGAAUACAAAUCUGACCUUCACAUUGCUUCAAACGCCAGCUGUACCACCCAUUGCCUUACCCCUCUGGCCAAGCUACACAGAAGACUGCUAAUGCACCGACCACCAGCCAAGGACUGGAGAGGUGGAAGGGUUGCAUUCAACAUCAUUCCCAACAGUACUUGUACUGCUAAGGUGGCAAGACAGCUUGGUGUGCUUAUUGAGCCAGAAAACUUGCAAUUAAUGUCUCCUUUGUCAAGUGUAGGGGAAUUUUAUUGAUGUGGCAGGUGGGGGUUGGGUGUGUUACUCCCCUUGAGGUCAAGGGUUCAAGCCCUGUCGAAGGCAACUUUAGUGUAAUUUAAACUGGUCAAUAUAUAUUUAUGGCUUUGCUAAUUCAUGUAUAAUGCAUUAUGACUUUGACAAACAUUUGGUUACUGGAUUCUUUGUUAUUUUUUUC